CCUACGGGAGGCAGCAGUGAGGAAUAUUGGUCAAUGGUCGGGAGACUGAACCAGCCAAGCCGCGUGAGGGAUGAAGGUACAGAGUAUCGUAAACCUCUUUUGUCAGGGAACAAAGGCGGGGACGCGUCCCCGGAUGAGGGUACCUGAAGAAAAAGCAUCGGCUAAGUCCGUGCCAGCAGCCGCGGUAAUAAGGAGGAUGCGAGCGUUAUCCGGAUGUAUUGGGGUGAAAGGGUGCGCAGGCGGUAUGUUAAGUCAGCGGGAAAAGCCGGGGGCUCAACCCCGGCCCGCCGUUGAAACUGGCAGUCUCGAGUUGGAGAGAAGUAUGCGGAAUGCGCGGUGUAGCGGUGAAAUGCAUAGAUAUCGCGCAGAACUCCGAUUGCGAAGGCAGCAUGCCGGCUCCACACUGACGCUGAUGCACGAAAGCGUGGGUAUCGAACAGGAUUAGAUACCCGUGUAGUC
rnacentral:rRNA from 1 species